rnacentral:rRNA from 1 species
GACGAACGCUGGCGGCGUGCUUAACACAUGCAAGUCGAGCGGUAAGGCCCUUUCGGGGGUACACGAGCGGCGAACGGGUGAGUAACACGUGGGUGACCUGCCCUUAGCUCUGGGAUAAGCCUGGGAAACUGGGUCUAAUACCGGAUAUGACUCCAUGACGCAUGUUGUGGGGUGGAAAGCCUUGUGCGGCUAGGGAUGGGCCCGCGGCCUAUCAGCUUGUUGGUGGGGUGAUGGCCUACCAAGGCGACGACGGGUAGCCGGCCUGAGAGGGCGACCGGCCACACUGGGACUGAGACACGGCCCAGACUCCUACGGGAGGCAGCAGUGGGGAAUCUUGCACAAUGGGCGAAAGCCUGAUGCAGCGACGCCGCGUGGGGACGAAU